CGGUAUCCUGACCGUGCAAAGCUAGCAUAAUCAUUUGCCUUCUAAUUAAAGGCUAGUAUGAACGGAAAACCGAAAACUCCCCUGUCUCUUUUUCAACCCUAAAAAUUAACCUUCAGGUGAAGAGGCCUGAAUUAUAUUAAAAGACAAGAAGACCCUGUCGAGCUUGAUUUUAAACCCCUAUAAUCCUAAUUUUAUUUAAGAUAAAAAUUUUGUUGGGGCGACAAAGGAGUAAACAAAACCUCCUUAACACCUUAGACCUGUAGUCCCUCUAUAGACCCAUUUCAUGCUCUCCCAAACCAGCUACCGCAGGGAUAACAGACUAAUUUUUCUCAAGAGCCCAUAUCUACAGAAAAGUUUAGCACCUCGAUGUUGG
rnacentral:rRNA from 1 species